rnacentral:ncRNA from 2 species
AAGAGAAUUACGGGAGAGACUAGUCAUAGCACCGAAGGAAUAAAUGAUCAGUGGCGCAAACUAUUGAUUGUGAAGAUCUCAGGUAAAAAGGACCGUAAUUGGACA